rnacentral:rRNA from 1 species
AUUGAACGCUGGCGGCAGGCCUAACACAUGCAAGUCGAGCGGAUGAAGGGAGCUUGCUCCUGGAUUCAGCGGCGGACGGGUGAGUAAUGCCUAGGAAUCUGCCUGGUAGUGGGGGAUAACGUCCGGAAACGGGCGCUAAUACCGCAUACGUCCUGAGGGAGAAAGUGGGGGAUCUUCGGACCUCACGCUAUCAGAUGAGCCUAGGUCGGAUUAGCUAGUUGGUGGGGUAAAGGCCUACCAAGGCGACGAUCCGUAACUGGUCUGAGAGGAUGAUCAGUCACCCGGAAAUGGAAAACGGGCCCAGACCCCUAGGGGGGGCAGCGAGGGGAAUUUUGGACAAUGGGCGAAAGCCUGAUCCAGCCAUGCCGCGUGUGUGAAGAAGGUCUUCGGAUUGUAAAGCACUUUAAGUUGGGAGGAAGGGCAGUAAGUUAAUACCUUGCUGUUUUGACGUUACCAACAGAAUAAGCACCGGCUAACUUCGUG